rnacentral:lncRNA from 1 species
CAUUGAUACGUGGAAGCCCGCGCCCUGCACCCUUCCGAGGAAGGUGGAGCUUUCGUCGGGGCCGACCCUCAGCACGGUGUCGUAGAUCUCGAUGUUCCCGAAGGUGUAGGGGAGGCUCAUGUUCACCACGGUGACGGUGGUGUUGUCGGGACCGAUAAAGGUCUCGUGGAAGUAGACGCGGAAGUGGAUUCUCUUCUGGAUGCCGAGUUCGAACUCGGAGGUGACCGGGAAGGCCGUGGCAGCAGCCUGGAGGAGGAAGAAGACGAGGAGGAAGUAGAGAUGAGUGGAGCUGUGUGGGGAUGAAGCCAUGGCUAGGAUGACACAAGGAUCGAAGUGAGGUGGGUACAACGCUGGAUCAGGAACAUGUGUUUAUAGAGUAAUGUCUGCGCCAUGCGUCGUUGACAAAUACCAACUUUCAUAAACAUGUAAACACCAUGCCACACGGAGAUGGAAGAUGGAAGAUGGAAGUAAUAUAGAUAAUCUUGAGCAAUGAAGAUGGAUAACUGAGAGAUCGAUGAUAGUUGCAAGCAGUGGCCAAUGAGGAUAGUGUUGCGUCUUCUGCUAGUGUCAACUGGCCACAUGUAACUCAUGAAUUUGUCUUUUUCUUAACCAACCACAUCGUUCGAUGAUAGUUGCAAACGUUGACAUAAUGCAUGUCAACGUUUCCAUGUGAAUAACACCCACAUAAUCCUUCACCUAUCAAAGGUGUGAUCGGUUGACAAAGUUCAUCAUUAUUAUGUAAGGUACAUUUAUAUUAGAGGAUCGUCAAAUGCCAGUGCAUGUCAUGGUACUUUUCAAUGUGCAUAAUUGACACAAACUGUGUGGAAUCUCUCCCUCUUACUUGCCCCUUCACACAAUGCAUUUCUUUAUCAACAUAUGUUUGCUUCACCUGAGUCAACUGUUCAUGUGAUCCACACUAAAGCCUCCGUCGGUUCAGCAAAAUCGGCUAAUUGUCGUUACUUAAUGUUGAAAAUUGAUAACAAGUCUUUGUAAGACUAUCAAUUAAGAAUUUUGCACAUUUAGUCUCAAGUUGAUUAGAGAUUUAAAGAGUCAAUAGCUAAUGAAGAAUCAAAUAUCUUGAAAGGCAAAGAACCGGUCCUACUUAACAAUUUAUUAACAUUAAAAGAGCUCAAGAUUAAUGUUUUUUUUUAUUGAGGUAAAUAAUUUGUGAAAAAUAAGAGUAUUAUUUUAGACAAAAUAAGUAGUAAAAAAGAGGAUCAAAUUGAUUAACGAAACGUGGCAUGUCCACGAAUCUUAAAGCAUCAGAUUGCAUCAGUAACUAGCGACCACCAAAGCAGUCUCCACGGUGAGAAGGGGGAAAUGACGAUGUGAAGAAUCGCAGAGGCGGCUCUCCUCUUUGUCCUCCUCGGUGGCAACGAGCGCGAUUUGGUGAUCAAGGUCCGAUCACUUACGAUCCCUUCUCGUCCAAUUUUCCCAAUCUUGGUUAGAGUUUUAAUUUGAUGGAGUGCUUGACGCCGUCUUGUAGUUUUGAUGUCAAUUUCUUGGUGCGAUCUACUGUUCGAUCAGAAUCUUUGAUGGGUCCUAGCCGAUGAUCAUGCAACCUAGUUGCUCUAUGAUCAACGAAAACGAAACCUAAUAUUAUAGUUUCUUUUUCCUCUCAGUUUAGAUUCACUUCUUCCCCUUGAUCACGCAAGUAGUCGAAGCUUAACUGCAGGAAUUGUUCGAGUUUUUUUCACGUAUUUGAGCUUUUUGUGUCGUAACCUACUACGUUUUCUUGAUUUUAGACUGAACUAGGCUUUGCACUUGGUUGCUAUAUAUGCAUUCAAGAUAAUACUCUUGCCAUCAAAUCAUUGAAUUAUGUGGGGAUUAUUCAUCGAACAGAUUCCCUUUAAGUCGCAUAGUCUUUUGUUCCUUUCCCUGGUUCUGUUGCUUGUUGCAUAUCUUAAGUACAUUACUGUUUCCUAUGUCUGCAUCUCAUGUAUUUCACGUUAUCCAAGCAAGAAAUUUGUCAGAUGUGCAUGAUGUUCAACCAAUUGAUCUAAUAAACGCCAACUUUAUCUACACAUCAAUUGAAAGAAAAGAACAUCUUAUCAUUAUUCCAGUUUCACAGCUAGAAAGUAGUGAUGCAUCUGAAACUGUAGCUGUAUGUGAAAAUUUCGGCAAGUCAGGUAAAAGAAGUAAGUAUUAAGAAGGAAAUGUAUUGGUACCCCUUCCAAUAAGGAGAUAAUAGUUAAACAAGUUGCUAUCGAUUAAACUUAUGGGUCAUAUAAUUUAGACCUUUUUAGGUCUCGUCUACAUUGUUAGUUGUUAUCAAGGAAGUAACUAGCAAUUUAUUGUGAUUCAUGAAUUCCUUUGCAUAGGAUGGAUUUAAUAAUGUUGCAUGAGUAAGGCUUUCUGCAUUAUGGCAUGGCUCAUGUUGAUAAUAUGCGGGCACAUAAAAACUACUGUAAGGGUCUACUUACAGAACCUUAUAGGAAGAUGUUUUGGAUAAUGGCUACAUGCAAUUAGUGGUGUUAAGGAAGGGACCUAUUUUUGGGUUGAUUACAUUGUAACAUUGCAGUGCCUUUAAAUUAGUAAGCUGCAAUAUAGAGAUUAAUAAGGGAACGUUGUGUACUCUUCUGAACCAAAUGAUGUUGUAUUUCUUCUUAUUUGGAGGUUUCAAGUUUCUUGAUUGAGUUUCAUUUUGUUGUAGUCUUUAUCUAAAUUUGACUCUUAAAAACCUCGAGUAAUUUAGUGAAUGUUGUUGGAUAAUGCUUCAAUCAUAGUUGGUGUGUUGCCAUCUAUAAUUAACUCCAGAUGACUAGAAGACGGGAGGAACUAAAAGACAAUCAAGUAAAAUGUUGGUAAACAAAACUUAAUAGGUACAAAGGCAUUUUAGUUUUUAGGUUGUUCAUUUAGUUGAUGUCACAUGGAAUAUCAUGUCCACAUCCACAAACUAUGUUUGUUUGUAGAGAGUACCUGUGCCAUUUAUUAGAUUCUACCCAACUAUCAUGUGACAAUAACAAUAUAAAAGGUUGAUUUUUUUAAUAUAUAGCGUCCUCAGAUUUGUCCAAUGAUGCAACUCAAAUUAGAUGAUUUUUGGCGACUUGAAACUUCAAAUACGUCUGCUUGAGUACCAUGGGUGCCAGCAGCAUUAUCUAGGCCAGUUUCACAUCAAUUUUAAGAGUAGCUGGAUGAUGAUAAAUUAAACCAUAUCAUCAAGACUCCUGCUUCUGUGUAUUGUAGUUUUAUUGAUCCUGAUCUUCCAUUAGAAUUUUAAGACUCAUGCAUGCGAAUACAUCAGAACGUCCUUUAAUUGAUGAAUUCUUUACCUCUGUCUUGACGAGCAGUUUCACCAGGAAUCAAACUAAUGGUGCAUGGCCUGAAGAAUGUAUGGGGAUCAAUGCGUGCAGUAGUUUCCACAGCAUGUGAGUUUAUGGUACUAACAUCAAAAGGAGCCGCUGAUGAGAAUAUUGUAGAGCAAAGACUGCUCAAGGAGCUGUGCAAACAUGGCUUUUAAUAAAAUUGACUUGGAUAGGGAGUUUUCUUGGGCUAAAAGAUUAUGACCUGUAGCAGUCCAUGGAUGAGCUUUUUGGUUGUGUAUGAUGAAUAGAUUUUUGCCUUGAGAGCAGAGCUUCAGGUUCUCGUUAGCCUGUAACUCCUUGCUUCUUUUAUCACAUGCUUUAGUGAUCCUCGAUGCCUGCAAGAUUACUGAAACUAAUAUUUGAGAUUGGUAGCCCAAUUUUUUCUCUCUCCAGUGGGUAGUUCAUUUGGUACCCUAUGGACUCGGUAUCUUUCCUUGCUUAUCCCGUAGCAGCAGCGGAAAUUUUGGUAGGAGAAGCUUUAGAUUGACUUUGUUUUCUCCAGUUUGUGGUACAAAUAUCAUUAUCUGAUGUGGUGUCUCUUGAGAUUGAUGUGGCAGGUUCUAAAUCUUACCAGGUAUUAAAGGAUUGUGGAUGUUACUUUUUCUUCUUUUUGAUUCCGUUGAAAUCUUUUGGUAGGUUGUAACUCACAGACGGAGAUUGAGCCGCAGCAAAUUGACUUGAAGAGCAUCAUCAUGGCAGCAACUGGGCUUGGACUUGUUUGAGGGAAGGUCACUUGGACUGGUAUGCUACUUAGCCCAAUCCAAUUGUUUGGUUACCGCAAAGCUCACUGGUUCAACAGAGAUGCAUACUAUUUCACGAGGGAUUACCUUGUUUAACUUUUGCUCCUAAGCCAUACAACACCAACGCUAACAGCUGAAGAAGAAUAUUUGGGAGUCUCAAUUAGAUCUUACAGAUCGUGUUCUCCCCUUCUGCUGCUUAGGAGGAUGGCGACGAAGCUGAGGCCAGCGCAGCCGCCGGUGACGAGGUUGCCCUCGCGGACGAGGAUCUUGAGGGCGACGGCGCUGAUGUCGGCGGUGAUCCGCCGCCCCUCCAUCACCAGCGCCCGCCACGGCUUCCCGGCGAAGGCGAGCAGCACCAGGACGGUGCAGCACGUGACCAGCGUCGCUGGCACCGCCACCGGUAGCGCUGCCCCCACGGACAACAUCCCGAACAACUCUCCGUACUGAUUGUGUAAAUGUAAAGACAAAGUUUGAUUGAAGCUUAUUAACAUGUUCCCUGGGGGGAGGAUUUUCAGAGCAGUGAGAUUUCCUCGUGCAAUCGGAGAAAUCUUAUUUGCUAUCACAUACAGCACCGACGUAUACAACCUCGACGACCAUGAUGAUGAGGAGGACGAGGAGGAGGCGACGAUGUUGUACCAGGAAUGGAUGGCAAGGAGGAGGCCCCAGGAGCAAUGAAGGAGGAGGGUGUAGAAGAGGAGAAAGAGGUAGACCCAUGUCCGCCUCUUGUUCGUAACUCUGGUAUGUCCGCGGUCGCCCUUGGAUGCUUGUUUCUCAUGGCCAGUGCUGCAGUUGCUGUUGCAGAAGAAGUGGAUGUGUAGCAGAAGCAAAAGUAAGUCCAACUCUGCUUGUGUCUCUGAGUUUCCCACCUUAGUCAAGCCAGCUGAAUAGCCUACUCACUUUUUUUAAUUUUUAUUAUUGUUUUAUCAUUUUUUAGAUGAAUGAUAAUAUUUAUAUAUGAAAAGAUAUUUUAUCUCAUUAUUUUACUUAAUAUUUUAAUAUUUAUAUCGAUAUUGGACUAACGGGAGAUGCCUUGCUCGGAUAGAAUAUAUCUAAGGGGGGAUAUAUAUAACUGAUAAGGGUAAUAAUUGUAAUAAGACUCACGUGACAUCAGCUGCAUCAGGUGACGCAUCACGCCUCUGUUGACUUGAUGAGGCACCUGGUCAACGUGGAUCGGAACGCCUACCAAGGCGCAUUAACGCUCUGUUCAGGUUCGAUCCCUCACGCCACGCCAACGGCAACGUUAGACGCUACCAGAAGUACGGUCCCGCUCCCUGCGGGCCAGCACAUUAGACAACGGUAAUUAUCACUAUAAAAACCCUCGCACUCUGAAGGGAAAAAAAGGGGGGGAGGGAAGGGAGAAAUCCCCUAGGACCAUCCACUAACUUGAUCGUCAGAGGGAUCGGGUCGAGCUCCCCGACCCGACCUUUGUGUAGGUGCGAAGGCGGAGGUCGUCCACCAAAGGCGCAGGCGGGGGUUCCCUCCCGGUGAAAACAGCGACCUCGUCCCAAUCGGAACACCGUGAUCGGCCACCUUAGCAGUCGGGAGGAGCGUCCCAGGAAGAUCCCCGUCAUCCGGACCCGAACCAAACCGCGUCGGUCCCGAUGCCACGGCUUAAAGUUGUUCACACUAACACUAACAUUUCGAUGUUUGUAUUAUGUUGGGACAUUUUUUUUUCGGUGAGAUAGUGAGUUGAGUAUUUUUUAUCCGAUCAAAAAGUUAUUUGAUAUAUUUAUAUUAUUGGGAUCAAUAUAGUAUAGAUGGGUCUAAUUUCUCUUACAAAAAAGAAUACCAUGAUUUAAACAUUGGGACUGAAAAAAAAUCUUAUAAGAUGCAAAGUUCAAGCACUAUCUUGGGUGGUCAGGUUGGGAACUCAUUGGAAGCUCUAUUACCACCGAUUAUGUAAGGUUAAAUUAUUUAAUUAGAAAAUAUUUAUUUUGCAUGUCAUAUUGAUGCGAAACAUCAUUAUUUUCAAACUAAUUAUCUCCUAUUUAUAUCGAAUCCAGAUUAAUUAUCCAUUGAAUUGUACCUAAUUUAUAAGGAUUCGCUGAAGGUAAAAUAAGCUUGAGAUAAUAUAUGAGUUCCACCCUUAAAAGAGAUGAUGAUUGAGCAAUUAGUUUAUCCCUCUAACUAUGGAGUAGGUUGGGAAGUCGAUGAAGCUCGAAAGAGAGGAUCCUGAGCAAGCAAUCAACCAACCUCAGUGGUUCUUCACUGAAAGGAGGAAGCAACGUAAGCAACAUCUAUGGAUGAGAGCAUUUUUCAUAUUUUUAAUGGUGGAGAAUCCCCGUUGAUUUGAGUUGAAAGUGUCAACUAGAAAUAAUCAAUAGAUCAUGGUCGCUAAUAUCAAGUUAUCUCCGAUAACAUCAAAAUCUCACUUCAAUAAUAUCUUCCAUUGUAAGAAUCCAACCCACAACAAUUAAAUACAAGAAAUGUGAUAGGGAAAGAGAUCAACUUCAAAAUCUCUAUGAGAAUGAUCGUUAGAUUUAAUAUUAUACUGGAUAGUAAUUGUAAUACCCCAAUUAGAAGUGAUAUGGUGAUAAUUGUCCAUCAGGACUUCUUUUAUAUUCUCAUAAAACUUUUCAUUAACUCAAGCAAAGUUCUUCAUGAUGUAUCACAUGUUAUGAAUAGUAUAUAUAAAUAGGGGAUCGAUACAUGAACCACCAUAUAUUGGGAGGUACAUAUUACAUGACCCUAUAUUAGACAAUACAGGAUCUAUACCAAUUGGUAUUGAUUGAAAUCCAAUCAUUAUAAAUUUGUGCUGACAAUUAUAUUGGGAGGUUACAAUUGCUUUAUUUUAAAUGAUCAAUUUGAUUGUUUGAACUAUAGAGAAGGGGUUUUAAACCCUUUCUUCUCUCCUUUUUCUACCAAUUUCACUCAAUCUUUUCAACUCUUUCUCACUUAUAUCUUUUUCUCAUUGUCAUGUUUUCACUCUCUUAAACUCAUCAUAACUAUAAUUCAUGGAUUAGAACAAAUGUGAGAGGCUAAUUUAGAAGGAUUACAAGAAGAAUAUUUUGAUCGAGAGGUAUAUAUUAUCAUUCUAGAUUUUUAUUUAUAUAUGAGAUGAUUAAGCCUAUUCUAUGUUUAUUUAUACAAUUUGAUGGUGAUGUAUCUAGAGGAGCAAUCUUUUACACUUGUCAUCUAGAUUCAGGCUCGAUAAUGUACUAGUUAAAUUUACACUAUGCCAUAAUGGGGGUUGAGGAGGAGGAUGCGACAUGAUGACAUUUACUGAUGAGAGCUUCUUUCAUAUUCUUAAUAGUGGAGAAUCUCUCGUUGACUUGAGUUUAAAAUGUCAACAAUAAAGACUCCGCUAAUAUCAAGUUAUCUCUAAUAACAUCAAAAUCUCACUUCAAUAAUAUGUAAAAAUCCAACCCAAGACAAUCGAAUAUAAGAAAUGAGAUUGGAAGGAGUUUGACUUCAAAAUCUCUAUAGAAAUGAUGUUAGAUUUAAUACUAAACUAGAUAGUAAUUGUAACACCCCAAUUGGAAACAAUGUGGCAACAAUCAUUGGCAAGGGCUUCUUUCAUAUUCUUAAGGUGGAGAACCUCCUAUUAAAUCAAGUAAGAUUCAUUGUACCAUGAUAUACCAUCUGAGACAAAUGAUACAUAUCAUUCUGACAAGGGAUUAGCAUGCGAACAGUCAUAUAUCGGGUGGUACACAUUACAUGAUUCUAUAUCGGAUGAUACGUGAUCUAUACCGAUCGAUAACGAUUGAAAUUUAAUUAUUACUGACUUGUACCAAUCGGUAACAAUUGAAUUUUGAUCGUUAUCAAUCAAGAGCUAAGAUUGUCUUAUUUUAAAUGAUCAAUUUGACUAUUUAAACUAUAAAAAAUAUUUUUAUAUCCUUUCCUCUCCCCACUCUUUCAACCCAUUUCACUCGAUCUUUUUAACUUUUUCAAACUCUUCUCACUCACAUCUUUUAUCUCAUUCUUAUAUUUUUACUUUCUUAAACUCAACAAAGCUAUAAUUAUAUAUUAAAUCAAAUAUAAGAUGUUAAUUUGAGAGGAUUAAAAAGAAUAACACUUUAAUUAAGAUAUAUAUAUAUAUAUAUUUCUUUUUAAAUUUUAUAUUUAUAUAUAAGAUAAUUAAGCUUAUUCUAUGUGGUCAUGUCUAUACAAUUUUAUACUUGUCACCCAAGAUUUAGAUCAUGAAACUCGACGAAAUACUAGUUAAGUUUAUACACGGGAGGGAAGGGAAAAACAAUGGAUGAUUUUGAAUAGAUGUGAUAGAGUAUACAUGACAUAGAUAUAGAUCAAACCUCGUCAUAUUCACAACCAUUGUAUUGUGAAGAAUCUUAAGACUAAUAGUAGUAUGAUGAUAGUUGAUUAUUCUUUUCCAAGUAGUAGUAUGAUGAUCAAUCUUAUGAUAUAGAGCAACAGAUCAGUGACGAAAGUAAAAGUUUAAACAUUCAUAAUGCUCCAUACUAAUAUAUGUCAUAAUUGUCCUUGCCUCAGGAGCCAUCUACGUGGUUCAUGACGAUCAACUUAUAACCAUCACAACAUUGAUGUACCAUUAACAUACGAUGUAUGUAACACCCUACUUCUACCCUACAUGUAUAACUAAAAUAUGAUGUCAUAUUUUAAAUUUUUAUUACUGCUAUCAAUAGGAGAGUAGUGAAAGUAGAUAAUCUUAAAAUUAAAACAUGCUAACUUACUUAACAAAAUGAUAGGAUUUCUCCUAUAUAUAGUAUUUUGGACAUUUAUACAUAAUUAUAGCCUCUAACUAAGAGAAAAACAUAAAUAUAACAAGUCCAAAAUUUAUACACACAAAACACCUACAGAACAUCAUGCAUAUCUAAGCUGGUAUAGGCUUGCAUAUACUCACUGCUCUACCCAAUCACUUGGGUGGGGUAUUAGUAAUGAGUACACUCAAUAAGUAUAAGCCCUUAUAGCUUUAUUUAGGUAGCAUAUAUCAUAUCAUAUAUGUAAUAUUUUAAAAUUAUUGGCGUAAGACAUUUAAUGGAAAACUCCCUUAUCAUAUAACUUCUUUAGUAAACAUAAUCCCACAACAUAGCAUAUAUAAAAUAAAGAGUUAAAGUUCUACUUCAAAAUAAUUCAAAAUGCUUAUAUGCAAAUAUAGGAAGUAUAAUAAAUUCAUUGACUUCUAUGCCCUACAUCAUAAUAUAUAUUUGCAUUCCCAUAUCAUAUGUUAUUAUAAUAUAUACGUGCACUCUCACACUACACGUCAUAAUAUUUACAUACACUCCCACAUUAUACAUCAUAGCAUAUACGUGCAUUACAUAUCAUAAUAUAUUCGUGUACUCACGUACCAUACAUCAUAGAAAAUAUAUACACUCUCAUACCAUAUGUCAUCAUAUAUGUAUACGUAUAUGAUAUUUUUAUCAUAAUUCAUAUAUUUUUAGACUUACAAAAUAUAUACAUUCAUAUUUAACUAAUGCUUUGCUCAUGACAAUCCUAUCAUUCGAAAUAUAAUUUUUAAAUUGUAUUAUACAUAUGACACCAUUAUUUUAUAGUAAAUUAAACUUAUACUUAAUUAAACUUAAAAAUAAAGAUAUUAAUAAAAAAUCAAGUUCUUUAAUAGUCGAAUGUAUUAGGGAGUGAUACUCCUUGGAGCAAAAGGUCAUGAGAUGUUUUAAUUAAUAAUCCUACCUCUUGAAUUAUUGAUUUAUAAUAAUUUAUAAUAAUAAUUCAUAAAAAAAAAAUUGAUAAAAAUCUCUUAUAAAAUAAAUUAUACUCAUCCUAAUAAUAUAUGAAGUUAUUCCUUCUCCAUGGUAGCUAAAAUUCAAAUUGAAUUAGUGUCGAAAGAUUAGAGAUCCAUGGCAAAGUAUGAUGUCGUAAUUACAUAUUAAUUGCGUCAUACAAAAAGGUGAAACAUCGUUUGUGCGUUCUUAUAUUUGCUUCCAUGUAAAAUGCUUUAAUUACAUUAAAUUAUAUGUGACAUUGACACAUAAACACACAGUUUUUAUUUAUUUUAAGAAAAAGAUAAAGUACAAAGUGACAAGUAAUUAUAUGCGACAUUGGCACAUAAACACACAACAGAGAGAGAGAGAGAGAGAGAGAGAGAGAGAGAGGAUAUAUAUAUAUAUAUAUAUANNNNNNNNNNNNNNNNNNNNGAGAGAGAGAGAGAGAGAGAGAGAGAGAGAGAGAGGAUAUAUAUAUAUAUAUAUAUAUAUAAGGCGGAGAUUCUUCGUGUCAUGUAUUAAGCUUCGGUGACAUCUCGAAUCAUGCGAUGGCACUGUGAUGGAGGUCGUUGUAGUAGACGACGUAGACGUCGUAGGCGACGACGAGCUUCGCGACAGAGGACGUCACCGUCUCGGUCACCAGCUUCCCCCAUGCGUACUGGAACACCCCCGUCCCUCCCACGAUGGCCCGCUCCGAGUUCCCGGACGCGUCCAGUCUCCCGAUCACCGUGAGAGUGCUGUUGACGAACUUCCCCGCCGUGAACACCAGCACCAGCGGUACCAGCAUCACCUCCUCCUGCAUUGAUACGUGGAAGCCCGCGCCCUGCACCCUUCCGAGGAAGGUGGAGCUUUCGUCGGGGCCGACCCUCAGCACCGUGUCGUAGAUCUCGAUGUUCCCGAAGGUGUAGGGGAGGCUCAUGUUCACCACGGUGACGGUGGUGUUGUCGGGACCGAUAAAGGUCUCGUGGAAGUAGACGCGGAAGUGGAUUCUCUUCUGGAUGCCGAGUUCGAACUCGGAGGUGACCGGGAAGGCCGUGGCAGCAGCCAGGAGGAGGAAGAAGACGAGGAGGUGGUGGAAAAGAGAGGAGCUGUGUGGGGACGACGCCAUGACUAGGGUGGUGGAUGGACAAGGAACGUGAAGUGAGAAGUGAGAUGAGCACAACAAUAAGAGGGAAAGUGUCUUUAUAGAGCAUUGGCUUAUGGCUCUGUCAUCAUCAUACAUAUCAUAUUUAUCACAGGUAAGUAUGAUGUACACAUCAUCAUAUUAAUAUUUAAGAGAUUAAAAUUAAAUAAUAUUUUGAAUCCUUAAUAUUCGAUAAAUAAGUCUUUUAGAUGUAAGAAUAUCUCAAAUAAAUUUUUGAAUAAUCAACCUUUGAUAAGUGGAUCAUCAUUAUAUUUAUACACGGAAAUGAAUCAUUUACAAUUAAUUAGACUUUGACAUGUUAAACUCAAUCAAUUCAUGAACUAUUAUUGAAAAUAUUUAUGGGUAUACGAUUAGAAAAAUAAGCUUAUAUGACUAAGGAUUGAAAGAAUCAGAUAACAUAAUAGUUUAAGUCUUUGGAUUGAAUUAAUAUCUUACUUGAUAUAUAUAUUAACUCUGAUCAAUUUGAUUCAAACUCAUCAAUAGUCAUACAACUAUGACAUGAACAAGCUCUAAAUUGAAGAUUUAUCGGGCAAGCUUAUUGAACUCAUCCAAGAGUCUUAUGGGUGCUAUUCAAAACAAAAUUGGACAAUCGUAUCCUCAUUGAACUUGGAAGAAAUCGACUCGAGCCACGUUAAUUUAGAUAUUGAGGUUGGAUUCCCCUAGUUGGACAUCUUAGUCGAACCUCAAAGUCAAAAGUCAUUCCAUCUUCCAACUAGAGCAACAAGAAUUCGGAAAAAAAUAAUGAACCAAAUCGAGUCAAGUUCGCCGGAUCUAAGUUCGACCGAAUGGUGUAUUUGGAGUCCAUCCUUCCAAUGCGGGGGGAAGAAGAUGGCAUAAAAUGCAAUAAGCGAUGCAUAAUAACACCGGUGGACGCCCGGUGAUUACAGCAUACGGGCUCUCGAUCGGUAGGUGCCUCGCUCUCCGCCUUCAGCAAGCAACGUAGACGUACAGCGACGGCUCUCGGUCGGUAGGUGCCUCGAAUGCAGGUGUCGCUGGGGAGAUGGGUGAUGGAGGUCCAAAAGAUGAGGCCAUUGACAUGAUCGAUGUCGACUGUAAUCUUCUCAUCUUAGGACAAGAUCUUCCACCUCACGGUCUCGUACGUUGCAUGGUGGGUGAACGAGGAGGAAGCCAUCGAUCGGGCGUUGGUUUCCUCCGUACACUUAUCUUUUCUCCAUGCUGUAGCUGUCGGUGAUCACAUUUGUUGCAUGUGAUACACGUUUUCUUUUUUUUUUUUCACCUUUGUCGUGUACUCUAAUUCUGAAAGAACCAUCACUUUCUGAUCACUGUACAUGACUGUGAUUCUUGCACAGUCAUUGAUCUAUUUCUUCUAAUAAUUGACUAUGAUUCUUGCACAAGAGAACUCGUAAAGCAUGAAAAUUUGAUAUUAUUAAUUAAUUUUAAUAAUAAUUUUAUUUUUAAAGUAAACAAAUAAAUUAAAAGAAAAUGGAGAAUUGCAUAUUCUCCACUCUGUUGAUACCCCUAUUUACUUGAGAGGAGACCAAUGUAGUUUCUACAAUCAAGUCAAACUAGAGUCUAAAUCAAAACUAUGUAGACCUCCCUUCCAUCCCUCUAGCUAGGUCUCAUUCGGUGCCAACCGACACCAUCGAAACUUUAGCUCAGUUUGCUUAAAUGUUCAGCUAGUAAACAUACAAACAUAUCACUUUCCAUCAAUAUAAAAGUACAUAUAUAUAUUACAAUAAUAUGUGAUAUGAUAGUACACACAUAUGUUAUGAUAUAAGGCGUAGAAGAUCAUACAUUUUUUAGGCUUCCUACAUGUGCAUAUAAGUAUUUGAAUUAUUUCGAUAUAAAAUUUUACCAUCUUAUUGUAUAUAUAAUGUGUUGUAGGAUUAUUUAUACAUGCUAAAGAAUUUAUAGGAUGAUGUGUCUAUCAUUAAAUACUUUAUGUUAAGGAUUUUAAAAUAUUAUAUACAUGAAAUGAUGUGCUCACAUAAAUAAAACAAUAAAGACUUAUAUUUACUGAGUGAUUAAUCACCGUAGAUCAUAUUUUACAGAUAAAAAUAUUAGUAUCCCACUCAAGUGAUUGUAUAGGGAAGUAAGCACAUGUAAGCCCAUGCUAGCAUAGAUAUGAACGAUGAUUUUUCAACAUUUUAUGUAUAUAAAUUUUGGACAUAUUAUAUUUAUGUUUUUAUUUGGUUAAAUGAUAUAAUCAUGUAUUUAAAACAUUAUGGAUAGGGGAAACCCUAUUAUUUUGUUUAGUAAGUUAGCAUGUUUUAAUUUUAGGAUUGUCAACUUUCCAUUGUAGUCAUAUUGAUAUCAGUAAUUAAAAUUUAAAAUGUAACAUCCUAUAUUAAUUAUACAUGUAAGAUAUGGAAGAAACUAGAAGUAGAGUAUUACAUAUUCAAUGUUCUUGAUAUCGAAUCCAUCUAUGAUAGACUCGGUGAAAGGCUACAGUUACAUCCAAGUCAUCCUUUAAAGAAUCAAAAUAUAUAUUAACAAUUAUGAAAUGUGAAAGAUUUUUUAACUAAUAAAUUAACUAGAAAAAUUGAAUGAACGAAUGAAUGCCAUGUUUAUGGGAGGAAUAGGUACAUGUCAUUUUGUCAAGGCACGUGAUUUAUUUGGAAUUUAAUGUAACUUAUUCGCAUUAUGUUGAUUAUAGUUUGCGACAAAUGUAAAGAUUCCAUAUCAAAAAAUAAAUUCCGAUGUGCAUGUGUUAGAUCCCUUAUGAAACUUAAUUAUUUAUAGAGUGACUUUAACAUAUAGUAAAUAAGUUUGUAUCUAUGUAACUUGGAUGAUCAUAUUGUGAAAUAUACAAAUAAUAUCUCAAGUUAUUCCUUCUCCGUAGUAGCUAAAUUUCAACUACAUUUGGUGUCGAAAGAUUAGAGAUCCAUGACAAAGUAUGAUGUUGUAAUUACAUAUUAAUUGCGUGAUAGAAAAAGGUGAAACAUCGUUUGUGUGUUCUCAUAUUGCUUCCUUGUCCGAUAAUUUAAUCGCAUUAAAUUAUAAGCGACAUUGAUAGGUUGAUGUUCACAAAAACACACAACACUAACAUUAUGACCCAUCGACCAUUUUGUACCCACUUGAUUCAGUUUUUAGAAUUAUAUUUGUCUGUUUCCAAAAAAAAAUAUUUCUUUAUGUAGUACGAAGUAUUUUUUUGAAUUAUAGUAUAUUAUAGUGAAAUUUUUGACAGAUAAGCUCACUCUACAGGAGAUGAGAUUUUUACCUCAUAACACUCAUCGCUUAAUUCUUUCCAAGUAAUUAGAUCCUUUUCAUCAAAGCAUUCAUAAUCUUUUAUAUAUAUAUAUAUAUAUUAUUGAAUUGAGCUGUACAAUAUUAUUUUAGUUGAUCUUAUUAACAACUUUAUAGUGUGGUCCGAUGCAUAAUACUGCUACUAAUCCUAAAUAGGAGAAGAAUAAAUUUACUAUAGUCAUAUAUACCUACAGCUAUGAAAAAUAAAGCAUGUCACCGUACUGUGCUGCAAAAUAUCGAGGUUUGUAAAAGCUUUUCUUUCUCAAUAAUAAGAAGCUUUUCUUUAUUUUAAGAUAAAGAUGGAAGUACAAAGUGACACGUAGAAUAGCAUUUAUUUCAGCCUUUUGUUUUGUCCUUAUUCCAACCGCUGUCUUCAUGGAGUGACACCAUAGCCGGAGUUCUUUUUGUCGUGUAUUAAGCGUCGGUGACGGCAAGGUCUCGCAAUCAUGGGCUGGCACUGCGACCGACGUCGGUGUAGUAGAUGACGUAGACGUCGAAGGCGGCGACGAGGCCCUCGACGGAGGACGUCACCAGCUCGCUCGCCAGCUUUCCCCAUGCGUACUGGAACACCCCCGUUCCACCCACGAUGGCCCGCUCCGCUUUCCCGGACGCGUCCAGUCUACCGAUCGCCGUGAGUGUGCUGUCGGCGAACUCCCCCGCCGUGAACACCAGUACCAGCGGUAUCAGAGACGCCUCCUCCUGCUGCGACAUGUGGAAGCCCGCGCCCUGCGCCCUUCCGACGACCGUCGAGCUAGCGUCGGAGCCGACCCUCAGCACGGCGUCGAAGAUGUCGAUGUCCCCGAAGGUGUAGGGGAGGCUCAUGUUCACCACGGUGACGGUGGUGUUGUCGGGGCCGAGAAAGGUCUCGUGGAAGUAGACGCGGAAGUGGAUUCUCUUCUGGAUGCCGAGUUCGAACUCGGAGGUGACGGGGAAGGCCGUGGCAGCAGCGAAGAGGAGGAAGAAGACGAGGAGGUGGUGGAUAGGAGAGGAGCUGUGUGGGGACGAAGCCAUGACUGGGGUGGUGGAUGGACAAGGAACGUGUUAUACUUGGCAAAGAUUGACAAGUGAGAGGAGCACAAGGCUGGAGGAGGGAGAGCGUAUUUAUAGAGUAUUGGCUAUGUCAUCGUCGUGCAUAUAUCAUAUCUAUCAUAUUAGACGAUAUUUUAGACUCUCUUAAAAAGGUAAGUAUGUAAGCAUCAUCAUAAUAAUAUUUUAGAGAUUAACAUUAGAAAGGAUUUCAAAUCCUCAAUUCAAAGUUGAGUCUUUUAGAUGUAAGAAUACCUCAAACAAAAUUUUUGAAUCAUCAAACAAUAAGUGAAUUUUCAUCAUGUUCAAAGAUUAAAAUGAAUCAUAUACAAUUAAUGAGACUUAGCAUGAUAAAUUUAAGUAAUUAUUAUUGAAAAUAUUUAUGCAUGUGAGAUAAAAAAAGAUGAGCGAAAAGUAAUAUAUGACUAAAGAUUGAAGGAAUCAGAGUACAGAAAGUCGGUUUGACAAGUAACACCACGUUUAGCCUUCCUCUUGAACGCCGGUCUCGUUCCAAAAUCGCCGGACGGACCACUUCGCUCUCCGCCGACAACACGCAACGUGUAGCUUCGCUGGGAUACGGGUGAUGCAGGUCAAAGAAGAUGAAGCCAUCGACAUGAACGAUGUGGACUGUAAUCGUCUCCAUCCUCGUCUUCUCAUCUUAGGACUAUAUCUUCCACCACACCGAAUCAUUCGUUGUAUGGUAGGUGAACAAGGAGGAAAGCCAUCAUCCAUGGGACUGCUUUUGGUUGGUUAAUCCUCACACUAGCUUCUCUCGAUGCUGUACCUGAUGGUGAGGCUUCUUGUGCACGUUUUGUUUCCAAAAAAUCUGUCUAUUUUGUUGAGAAAAUAUUUUCAUCUUAAUCAGUAUAAAUAGGGGGAAAAUAGCUUCAAUGUAAAACAGUUUUUUCAAUAAUUCUUCUUGUCUUCUAUUCUUUCCAACAUGAUAUCAGAGCAAGUGAGAAGAGCGAGACUCCAUGGCCAUCGAAGCCUGUUAUUCACCACAUCUCUUACCUUUGUAGAGCAGAGAAGGGGGUGAACUCUUUUCCAUCGGACUCGCUUCCCUGUCGGACUCCCCUCUCCGUCCGCUGAUACCCCAGUCGCUGUCGUGACCACACCCGGCAUCGCAAUCAUGUGCGACCACAACAACGAGGGCCUGUUUUGGUGCGACUGGCUACUCGCCCUCGGCAGUGGAUCCCUCUCCAACCCUGUCCGCUCCUUCCCUCUUCUCCUCCAUGCGGCUUUCUUCUUCAUCGGCGUCGCCUGCACCGACCCUAAGCUCGGGUUAUCUACCGCCAUAUCAUCAUCUUCAUCAGGUUGUGAUCUAUAUCAAUCGCAGCCUGCUGCCUCGGUGUCAACUGUCGAUCCUUAGCUCCUACUAAGAGCUAAUCGCUACAGCUUCCUCCUACUGCAGCUUCCUCAUGUUGCAGCAUCGUUGUAGCUUCCUCCUCUGUUGCAGCAUCGUUGCGGCUUCCUCCUCUGUUGUAGUUUCUGCUGUAGCUUUCUCCUAUGCUGGAGCAUUGCUGCAACUACCUCCUUUGCUCCGACUUCCUCCUUUAUUACAUCUAUGCUGCAGCUACCUCUUCUACUAUAGCUUCCUCCUCUAUUGUAGCAUUACUACAGCAUCGCUGCAGCUUUCUCCUAUACUGUAGCUUCCUCCUCUUCUGUAGAAUCACUGCAGAUUCCUCCUCUGCUAUAGCAUCGUUGCAGCUACCUCCUCUUCUGCAUCUACCUCCUCUACUGUAGCAUGAUAGCAGAUAAGAUUUCUCUAACUAUAUGAGAAAAUCUAGAGUUGAGAGAAAUCCUCCCUCUUAAUCUGUAUAAAUAGGGAGAGAAUACCUUCAAUGUAAAAUAGUUUCUUCAAUAAUUCUUCUUGUCUUCUAUUCUUCCCAACAGAUAAAAAGGGAUGUGGACGAGGCCAUCAAAAGGAACACACGUCAUUUAUGAUUACUGCUCGCUGCUCUUUGUUACUCGCCGAUGUCCUCAUCCAUCAGUAUGAACUGGAUGAGAGAAUAAUAUUCAAAAUACUCAGUUAAUAUUUUUCUUACUAACAGGAGUUUCUAUAGCUCAUGAUUCAUAACUUUAUUUUUGUCCCUUGUAUAAGAGCUGAUUUAAGUUUCUGUAUAGUUUUAUCAAUCGUGUUUUUUAUGCUAGUUUUACUUAUGACGCUGAAUGGCUUAUCUUAAUUACUAAUUGAGCAUUCAUCUCAUUAAGCAUUUAAUUAGAUGACACAGGGCACAUGCUCACGGUCACUUAUGGCUCCUCUUGCCAUCCUUCACGUGCAUGAUAUAUAUAUAUAUAUAUAUNNNNNNNNNNNNNNNNNNNNNNNNNNNNNNNNNNNNNNNNNNNNNNNNNNNNNNNNNNNNNNNNNNNNNNNNNNNNNNNNNNNNNNNNNNNNNNNNNNNNNNNNNNNNNNNNNNNNNNNNNNNNNNNNNNNNNNNNNNNNNNNNNNNNNNNNNNNNNNNNNNNNNNNNNNNNNNNNNNNNNNNNNNNNNNNNNNNNNNNNNNNNNNNNNNNNNNNNNNNNNNNNNNNNNNNNNNNNNNNNNNNNNNNNNNNNNNNNNNNNNNNNNNNNNNNNNUUGGACGUCACCAGUUUGCUCACCAUGUUCCCCCACGCGAACUGGAACACCCCAGUCCCUCCCACGAUGGCCCGGUCCGCCUUCCCGGAGGUGUCCAUCCUCCCUAUCAACGUGAGCGUGCUGUCGCAGAAGUCCCCGGCCGUGAACACCAGCACCAGCGGUAUCAGCGACGACUCGUCCCGCUGCGACGCGUGGAAGCUCACGCCCUGCGCCCUCCCGACUUCAGUCGAACGCUUGGAGGGGCCGGUCCUCAGCACGGCGUCGAAGAUGUCGACGUCCCCGAAGGUGUUGGGGAGGCUCAUGUUCACCACGGUGACGGUGGUGUUGUCGGGGCCGAGAAAGGUCUCGUGGAAGUAGACGCGGAAGUGGAUUCUGCUCUGCCGGCCGAGUUCGAACUCGGAGGUUACCGGGAAGGCUGUGGCAGCAGCCAGGAGGAGGAAGAAGACAAGGAGGAAGUAGAGAUGAGAGGAGCUGUGUGGGGAUGAAGCCAUGGCUAGGAUGACCGAAGGAUCGAAUUGAGGUGGGUACAACGCUGGAUCAGGAACAUGUAUUUAUAGAGUAAUGUCUGUGCCAUGCGUCGUCAACAAAAGCCAACUUCCAACCAAAUCUCAUUAUCAUGUCUACAUAAAAAACCCAAACGAAUAUUACUCUUGCAGGCGAAGGUCUCAGCGUAGGGAAGAAGAUAGCAUAUGGUAACACGAUGUACACACCAUAUAGUCUUCUCCAUAUAUAUAUAUAUAUAUAUAUAUAUAUAUAUAUGAUGUCGAGCAAUGGAGAUGGGUAACUGAGAGAUGGAGGGAUGAUAGUUGCAAGCAAUGGGCGAUGAGGAUAGUGUUGCGUCUUCUGCAAGUGCCAACUGGCCACCUGUAGCUCGUCAAUUUGCUUGUUAAUUAACGAACCACAUUGGCAACGCUAUCUUUCUUAAUGUGUUUCACCACAGAUGUACGCGGUUGGCUGAUGGCUGUCGCUCCCGUUUGUUCGCAUCUUCGGUUGUUGACAUGUGGAAAUGAAGUGUCGGUUCCCAUGCGUGAUCGGUACCUCACCACUCCACUUCAAGUCGCGACGUAAUUAAUGACCGACGGUGCGAUGCAAAACCUUCACUCGCCAAUCAAGUCAUUCGUGACUCAUGUGGGGCCAUUAACCAUCUUUUUGCUCUACAGUAAUCAAAGAAAAGCUCACAUGAUGUGUUCUCAUAUCAGCAUACAAAUGAAUUUUAUGUGACUUUUAAUAUACAUACAUAUUCUCUCCUGUCAAAACAUAUCCUAAACUCAUGUUUAUUUUUACCAUUAUAUAUAUCAUCACGAGACCAAAAGACAAAAAGGCAUGGGAUAACAUAACGCAUGUCAAUGUUUCCAUGUGAAUCACGCCUACAGAAUCCUUCACCUACCGAAGGUGUGGUUGGUUGUCAAAGUUCAUCAUUAUUAUGUAAGGGACAUUUUUCUCAGCAUAUCGUCAAAUGCCAGCGCAUGACGUGUUACCUUUCAAAGUGCAUAGUUGACCCAUUCCGCGUGUAAUGUCUCCUACUUAGUUGUCCCUUCACGCAAUGCAUUUCUUUAUCAGUAUACGUAUACUUCACCUGUUCAUAGCAUCCAUAUUAAAGCUUAUGUAGGUGCAGCGAAAUUAGUUAAUCGUCUAUAAAUAGGAUAGAAAUGGAUAACAAGUCUUAUUAAAGCCAUUAAUUAAGAAUUUAGAAUAGAGAUAGUAUCAUAUUUGAUUUCACAUUGAUCAGAGACUUAGAGAAUCAAUACCUAAUACCUAAUAAAGAGUCAAAUACAAAUUUUCGUUUUUUGACAGACAACUUUUGGGAUCCACCUUAGGAAAGGAAAGAUCAUGUGGUCCCGCUUAACAAUUUAUGAUUCAAAAGAGCUCGUGAUUGAAUAGUUUGUGAAAAUAAGAAUAUUAUUUGGAUAAAAAUAAAUAGUAAAAAAAGGAUCAAAUGAUAUAUGGACACGUGGCAUAUUCACCGAUCUUUAAAGCAGCCGAUCGCACGAGUAGUAAGAACUACCAAAGCUCUCUCCACGAUGAGAAAGGGCAACGAAGGCGGGGGAGUGACGAUGUGAAAGAAUCAUAAAGACGAUUGUUAGCAACCCUUGUGGUCGAGGUGCCAGCGUGGUUCGAUCCAAUCCUAAAUGCGCUUGUCCACGUAGAUGCUCGAGUGAUGGAAGUGAGCAUUAUGUCGUGUUGAGUUUGAGCCUCGUCUAUCUCAAUAUAGUUUCUCUCUUGGUGAGUGGCCUGCUUAUUUAUCACCGGACACAGGUUAGGGUCGAGAGGAAGAUUUUUUGAUUUGACCCUUGCGAAAGUUAAAUUAGUGUUGGGUGAAGUAAGAGGGAGUUAAAUGCUCAAAGUUCUUCCCAUGAUGUCAAUUAUUGGGUUGACUUUUAUACAUGCGAACAAAGUUCUUCACUGCUUCAGUAUGAUAUUCGAUUUAUAGAUGAAAGGUUAUGUUUUUCUUCAGCUUCAUGUUGCUCAUGGUCCAAAGUGAACUUGCUAAAAGAAAAAACACUGUCAUGAUUAUGAUGGAAUAAUAUUUCAAACACUUAGAUUUUUAAUAUAAAAUUGUAUGUAUCUAAGAGCUGGUUGGAGAAUUGUAUAAGAUAUGUCUAUAGUUCAACGAGUUCUGAUAUUUUUGGAGUUUGUUGCAAUAGGAUUUUAUUCGUAAUAUUAAUAAACGAGAUCGAAUAAUUCUUUUUAUUUUAGCCUUAUUAUUUAUUCUGCAGACGUAAAGCAAGAUAAACAUUGUUAGCUCUUAUUUAAUUGCUGUAGCUUUCGUUAUCGUGUCUCGGAUCACGCGAUGGAAGUGAGACGGACGUCGUUAUGGUACAUGACGUAGACCACGAAGGCGACGACGAGUCCUGCGACAUCGGACGUCACCUGCUUGCUCACCACGUUCCCCGACGCGAACUGGAACACCCCCGUCCCUCCCACGAUGGCCUGGUCCGCCUUCCCGGACGCGUCCAUCCUUCCGAUCACCGUGAGCGUGCUGUCGCAGAAGUUUCCCGCCGUGAACACCAGCACCAGCGGUAUCAGCGACGACUCGUCCCGCUGCGACACGUGGAAGCUCACGCCCUGCGCCCUUCCGACUUCAGUCGACCACUUGGAGGGGCCGAUCCUCAGCACGGCGUCGAAGAUGUCGACGUCCCCGAAGGUGUAGGGGAGGCUCAUGUUCACCACGGUGACGGUGGUGUUGUCGGGCCCGAGAAAGGUCUCAUGGAAGUAGACGCGGAAGUGGAUUCUCUUCUGGAUGCCGAGUUCGAACUCGGAGGUGACGGGUAAGGCCGUGGCAGCCGCAAGGAGGGGGAAGAGGACGAGGAGUAAGUAGAGAUGAGAGGAGCUGUGUGGGGAUGAAGCCAUGGCUUUGAUGAUGUUGUGGGAAACAACCUGGGAGCAGUGGCCUCGGGGCCGACGCGACUCAGUUCGAGUCCGAACGACGAGGAUCUUUGCUCGAGGUCUCUCGGGAUUGUCGGAGUGACCGACCGUGCGGACCAGACCACCGUUGGGUUCGUCGGGAUGUCUAGGGGGGAAGGCGUCCUCUCCUUGCGCCCCGGGGAAAUAGCUUCAUCUCCUUACCUGCACACAGGUCGGGUCGGAAGCUCGGCCCGACCCCUCCGACGAUCAAGUUAGUGGAUGUGGAGGGGGUUUAAGAAGAAGAAGUAUUUUUUGUGUCCCUCUUUGGUGUGUUCUCCCCUCCCCCCCUCUCCUGAUGAACGAGAGGGUAUUUAUAGGGAGGCUUAUUGUUUCUCGAUGUGUCCGCUUGCAGGGGGCAGGCUGGUUGUGUCUGACAUUGGUUUGGCGUGACGUGAAGAACCGAGCCUGAGUAGGUGUUAAUGCGCCUUGGCCUAUGUUCCGAUCCGUUUGAUCGGGUGUCGUCGCGUCGUCCGAGGCAUGAGGUGUCAUCUGACGUCAGUCAGGUCUUAUUAUAAUUAAUAUCCUCAUCAUGACAAAAUGAUCGAAGUUAGGUGGGCACAACGCUCGAAAAGGACAUGUAUUUAUAGAAGAGGCGUUGCCAAGCGUCGUCAACAAAUGUCAACUUCCAACUACCGCAAUUAUCAUGUCUGCGAAGGAAGAAGAUGGAUGUUUGGCCUUCCCGGUGAAUGCAUCCUUCAACUCAGAGAUGGAAGAUGGUUCCCGAGUGUGAUCGGUGCGUCUCGUGCAUUUAUUAUAGAGGAUCGUCAUAUGCCUUGUUCGCUUUCAAUGUAAAUAAUUGACCCAAUCCGCGCGCAAUCUAAACCACAUAGUGGGCCCAUCACACAAUGCAUUUCUUUCUCAAGAUGUGUUUGCUUCACCUAUUUCAACUGUUUAUGCGGUCCACAUUAAAACUUCUGUCGGUUCUGCAAAAUUGGCUAAUUAUCGCUUCUUAAUGUUGAAAAUUUAUAACAAGUGUGUGUAAGACUCUCGAUUAAAAAUUUUAAACAUAUUUAGUCCCAAAUUGAUUAGAGUCAAUACCUAAUCAAAUACGAAAAGAUCAUCCCUCCACUCCUACUUAACAAUUUAUUAACAUUAAAAGAGUUCAAGAUUAAUAUUUUUUGAUUGACGUAAAUAAUUUGUGAAAAAUAAAGGUAUUAUUUUGAAUAAAAUAAAUAGUAAAAAAAGGAUCAAAUUGAUUAUGGAAACGUCACAUUUUCACGAAUCAUAAAGCAGCAGACUGCAUCAGUAAGUAAUAUAUAAUUUUGGAUAAAAAUAAAUACUAAAAAAGAUGAAGGGGGAAAUGACGAUGUGAAGAAUCCACAGAGGUGGCUCUCCUCUCUGUCCUCUUCGGUAGCAACAAGCACGAUAUGGUGAUCAAGGCCCGAUCUCUUACUAUUCCUUCUCGUCCAAUUUUCCCAAUCUUGGUUAGAGUUUUAAUUUGAUGGAGUGCUUGACGCCGUCUUGUAGUUUUUUGAUGUCAAAUUCUUGGUUCGAUCUACUGUUCGAUCAAAAUCUUUGAUGGUCCUAUAAACUAGUUGCUCUAUGAUCAACAAAAAUAUUAGGGAUAAUCCUAAUAUUUUAGUAUUUGAUAGGGAUAAUCCUAACACUUGCCAGCUCUUUCAUCAUAUAGGUUAAAGAAGCAACACCUAAGCAUCAGCAUGGGAGUCACCUGCUCCCUGCAACCGCUAGCAUAUAAACUCAUCUAGUUUGAGUUGCAUCACGGGAUAAAUCUGAGGAAUCUAUAUAUUAAAAAAAUCCACCCUUUAUAUUGUUAUUGUCAUAUGAUAUUGGGGUAGAAUCUAAUAAAUGACACAGUUACUCUACAUACACACACACUUAUAUAUAGUCUUAUAGAUGUGGACAUGUGACAUCAACUAAAUGAGCAAUCUAAAAACUAAAAUGCAUUUGUACCUAUUAAGUUUUGUUUUCCAACAUAUAACUUAAUUUAAGAGGGCAAUGCACCAGUUAUGAUUCAAGUAUUAUUCAACAACAUUCACUAAAUCACUCGAGGUUUUAAGAGUCAAAUUUAGAUAAGGACCAGGACAAAAUGAAACUCAAUCAUGAAAAUUAAAACUUCUAAAUAGGAAGAAAUACAAUAUCAUUUUGUUCAGAUAAGUACACAACAUUCCCGUAUUAAUCUCUAUAUUGUAGCCUACUAAUUUAAAGGCACUGUAAGAUUACAAUGUAAUCAACCUAAAAAUAGGCCCCUUCCUCAGCGUCACCAAUUGCAUGUAGCCAUCAUCUAAAACGUCGUCUUAUAUGGUUCUGUAAGAAGACUCUUAUAGAAGUUUUUAUGUGCCCACAUAUUAUCAACAUGGGCCGUGCCACAAUGCAGAAAGCCUUACUCAUGCAACAUUAUUAAAUCAUUCAUAUCCAAAGGAAUUCAUGAAUCACAAUAAAUAGCUACUAACCUCCUUGAUAACAACUAACAAUGUAGAGGAGACCUAAAAAGGUCUAAAUUAUAAGACCCAUAAGUUUAAUCGAUGACAACUUGUUUCUUAAGCACCAUCGUGCGAGUCACUUAUUUCCUAAUAAGUGAUGUGAUUUUUAGAAAGUAAAUAAUAUACAAUCCUUUUUCGUGUGUGAAUAAUAACGAAUGAAUAUUAUAUUUCUAUCUUUAUAUGUGAAAAUAAAAUAAAAUUAAAUUUAAAAUAAUAAUUAAAUAUUUACUAAUUUUUAGGGAGAUUUCAUCUUCUUCUAUAUAAACUAGCUCCCCCUUCCUCAUUCCACACCGAGCAAAAUAAAAGUAUUGAAGAAAAGAUAUUUCAAGAAGAUGAUUUUGAGGUGAGGUAAGAUCCUCUAUUCUUUUCUAAUCAAAUUUUAUUCAUAUUUUAAAAUCUUUAAUAUUAAAAGAUUUUCUAUUCUAUUCUAAUCAGUUUUGAUUCAUAUUUUGAAAUCCUUGAUAUUAAAAUUGUUGUGAUCGUAUGAUGCAUAAUAAUAUUUUAAUUUUAAAAUUUUAUAAUUAAUAAAUAAUGAUAAUUGAUUUAUAAUGUUAGAAUGAUUAUUUGAUUUAUAAUGAUCUUUUAAACUUAAGUAACUUUUAAGAUUGAUUUAAUUAUUAAAACUUUUAUUAUUUUAGAUUAAUAUAAUAGUUUUAAUUUAUUUAGUUAUAUAUAUUUAUAUUUUAAGAAUUAGCUAUAAAUUUGAAUGACUUAAUUAGUUUUAAAUUUAAGAUUAUGAAUUUAAAAUUUUUAAUUUAUGAAUUUAAAAUAUUUUUUUAAUAAUUUAAAAUAUUAAAAAAUUUGAUAAGAUGAGCCAGUCUGACUUGAGGUAGGUUGAUCUGUCAAAUUGAGUCAAUCCAACUCUUAUAUCAUAUUUAUCAUAAUUUAUAUUAUUUUUAGAUUUAUAAAAUAUAUAAAUAUAUAUUUAGCUCAUACUUAACUCAUGACAAUCAUAUUAUUCUAAACAUACUUUCUAAAAUAUAUUAUACAUAUAAUAAGAUAUAUGACUAUUAUUAUAUAGUAAAUUAAAUUUAUACUUAUCAGAUUAAAUUUAAAAAUAAAGAUAUUAAUAAAAAAAUAUGUUCCUUAAUGAUUGAGUGUGCUGAAGAGCAAUAGACCUACCAAACUACGAGCAAAAGGUUAUGAGAUGCUUUAAUUAAGAAUCUUGCAUCUUCAAUUAUUGAUUUAUAGUAUUUUAUAAUAAUAAUUCAUUACAAAAAUAUUUUUUAUAAAUUAAGUUAUACUCAACCUAUCAAUAUCUCAAGUUAUUCCUGAUAGGGGAGUCACCGUGGAGUCAACGGGGAUACGGACCAUGACGCCAGCCAUCCCAUGGUGGGACAAUCAAAGUGACUCCCCUCAGGAAGUGAUGGCGACGCGACAUAACAUGACACCCUCUGCGCGUGGGCCGCACCCUGCCCAAGUGAACGGGCAUUAACGCUGACUCGACGUUCCCAACGUCACCCCCUCAACCAACGACUCCCUCGCCCAUACCCUGCGACACGAUGGUCCGCCACGCAACCCUAAUGGCAAUGUCAAAUCCAGCCAGAGGCACGACCCUAUUCUGACAAGUAGGAACAUCAGGUAAUGUCAGACCCAAACUAUAAAAGAGUCCAGGGCCUAAAGGCCAAAGGGGAGAACUCUACACAGAAAAAAGCCCUUCUCGCCCACUAAUUGGAUCGUCGGAGGGGUUGGGCCAUCAGGACGGCCCGACCUUUGUGCAGGUACACGGCGGCCGACCACCGGGGAUUUGCAGCCGGCCAUCUCUGAAGGCCACCCGCCGAUCGGGUUUGCCCCGAGCGCUCACCCAAAAGGCGUCAAGAGGCUCUACCCAUGAUCUUCGGCAUCCGGACCCCUGAACCGAGCCUUAUCGUCCCGAGAUCACGGCUCAAGCAGGUGCAGACCGCAUCAAUUCCUUGUCCGUAGUAGCUAAAAUUCAACUAUAUUUAGUAUCCAAAGAUUAGAGAUCCAUGAUAAAGUAUGAUGUCAGUAAUUAUGUAUUAAUUGCGUGAUAAAAAAGGUGAAACAUCGUUUGUCCAUUCUCAUAUUUGCUUCCAUGUCCAAUGCUUUAAUUACAUUAUAUUAUAUGCGACAUCGACACGGUCUCAUGUUCACAGAAACACACAACACUAACAAUAUGAUCCAUCGACCAUUUUGUACCCACUUGUUUCAGUUUUCUUUGUGUGUUUCCAGAAAAAAAAAGGCUUUAUGUAGAACGAAGUUUGAUAAUUUUUUAGAAUUAUAGUAGAUUAUAAUGAAAAAAUUGACAGAUAACCUAUCCUUAAUGUCACUCUACAGGAUAUGAGUUUUAUACCACAUAAUACUCCUCGUUUAAUUCUUUCCAAGUAAUUAGAUCUUUUUCUUCAUUCAAGAAUUUUAUAUGAUGCAUAAAAGCAUUCAUGAAUUUUAUAUAUAUAUAUAUAUAUAUAUAUAUAUAUAUAUAUAUAUACUUUAUUUUAUUAUAUUGAGUUUGGCUGUACAAUAUUAUUUUAGUUGAUCUUAUUAACCACUUUACAGUGUGGUCCGAUGCACUACGAAUUCUAAAUAGGAGAAGAAUUGAUUUACUACAGUCAUAUAUACCUAAAAAAUAAAACAUGUCACCGUACUUUGCUGCCAAAUAUCGACGUUUGUAAAACCUUUUCUUUCUCAAUAAUAAGAAGCUUUAAUUUAUUUUAAGAGAAAGAUGAAGAACAAAGUGACACGUAGAAUAGCAUUUAGUUCAGCCUUUUGUUUUGUCCUUAUUCCAAUUACUGUCUUCGUGGAGUGACGCCAGAGGCCGAGCUUCUUUGUGCCUUGUAUUAAGCUUCGGUGACGGCCACGUCGUUUAAUCAUGCGAUGGCACUGCGACCGACGUCGGUGUAGUAGAUGACGUAGACGUCGAAGGCGGCGACGAGGCCCUCGACGGAGGACGUCACCAGCUUGCUCGCCAGCUUCCCCCAUGCGUACUGGAAAACCCCCGUCCCACCCACGAUGGCCCGCUCCGCCUUCCCGGACGCGUCCAGUCUCCCGAUCGCCGUGAGCGUGCUGUCGGCGAACUCUCCCGUNNNNNNNNNNNNNNNNNNNNNNNNNNNNNNNNNNNNNNNNNNNNNNNNNNNNNNNNNNNNNNNNNNNNNNNNNNNNNNNUUAGACGAUAUUUUAGACUCUCUUAAAAAGGUAAGUAUGUAAGCAUCAUCAUAAUAAUAUUUUAGAGAUUAACAUUAGAAAGGAUUUCAAAUCCUCAAUUCAAAGUUGAGUCUUUUAGAUGUAAGAAUAUCUCAAACUAAAUUCUUGAAUCAUCAAUCAAUAAGUGAAUUUUUAUCAUGUUUAUAGAUUAAAAUGAAUCAUAUACAAUUAAUGAGACUUAGCAUGAUAAAUUUAAGUAAUUCUUAUUGAAAAUAUUUAUGUACGUGAGAUAAAAAAAGAUGAGAGAAAAGUAAUAUAUGACUAAAGAUUGAAGGAGUCAGAGUACAGAAAGUCGGUUUGACAAGUAACACCACGUUUAGCCUUCCUCUUGAACGCCGGUCUCGUUCCAAAAUCGCCGGCCGGACCACUUCGCUCUCCGCCGACAACACGCAACGUCUAGUUUCGCUGGGAUAUGGGUGAUGCGGGUCAAAGUAGAUGAAGCCAUCGACAUGAACGAUGUCGUCUGUAUUCGUCUCUAUCCUCGUCUUCUCAUCUCAGGACAAUAUCUUCCACCUCACGGUAUCAUACGUUGCAUGGUAGGUGAACAAGGAGGAAAGCCAUCAUCCAUGGGGCUGCUUUUGGUUGGUUAAUGGUGAGGGUUCCAUCACAUUUGUUCCGUGUGAUACACGUUUUCUUUCCACCUUUGGUGAAAGAAGAACAUUUGGUGACUAUAAGGGCAUAUUUGCAUAUCAAAUUUGCGAUAAAAAGGGAUGUGGAUGAGACCAUCAAUGUGAUUGAUGCCUCAAUUUUGGAGAAGGAACGCACGUCGUUUACGAUUGCUGCUCUUCGUUACUCGUCGAUCUCCUCAUCCAUCAGUAUGAACUGGAUGAGAGAAUAAUAUUCAAAUUACUCAUUUAAUAUUUUUCUUACUUAAUAGGAGUUUCUAUAGCUCAUGAUUCAUAACUUUAUUUUUGUCCCUUGUAUAAGAGCUGAUUUAAGUUUCUGUAUAGUUUUAUCAAUAGUGUUUUUUAUGCUAGUUUUACUUAUGACGCUGAAUGGCUUAUCUUAAUAACAAACUGAGCAUUCAUUUCAUUAAACAUUUAAUUAGANNNNNNNNNNNNNNNNNNNNNNNNNNNNNNNNNNNNNNNNNNNNNNNNNNNNNNNNNNNNNNNNNNNNNNNNNNNNNNNNNNNNNNNNNNNNNNNNNNNNNNNNNNNNNNNNNNNNNNNNNNNNNNNNNNNNNNNNNNNNNNNNNNNNNNNNNNNNNNNNNNNNNNNNNNNNNNNNNNNNNNNNNNNNNNNNNNNNNNNNNNNNNNNNNNNNNNNNNNNNNNNNNNNNNNNNNNNNNNNNNNNNNNNNNNNNNNNNNNNNNNNNNNNNNNNNNNNNNNNNNNNNNNNNNNNNNNNNNNNNNNNNNNNNNNNNNNNNNNNNNNNNNNNNNNNNNNNNNNNNNNNNNNNNNNNNNNNNNNUAAUUGGAUAAGAUAUAUAAUAUAACUAAUUGUUGUAAGUAUUAGAUUUUGUGAUCCUUUUAUAAUUGGAUAUAUAUAUUAGAUAUAACAAGAGGUACGUCUGUAAACACGUACAGACGUACCUCUUGUUGGGAAAUCUUGGGGGCGACAUCACAUGCACAGCGGAAGAACAAGAAAACAAAAUCCUCUAUUCCCAAAGAGAUGUUCGUCGUCGUGCAAAGAUUGGUGCGCAAAAUCCGUGAAACUUAAAACUACGUAUAGAGUAGAUUGUGUUACCUAGGGAGAUCGUAUAUCCUUGUUUCGUUACAGCUUUUUAGGAGAGGAUGAAAGAGGUCAAGCGUCCUCCUCUCUAGCGGUGAUCUACAUAGUAGGGUUGCGACGAUGCUCCUCAAAACUCCAGGCCUGCUAUGAGGUGGAGAGGGAGAGGAGAAUAGGAGAGGCAAGCAAAUGCUCUAGCUCUGAAUCCCUCCUAUUUAUAGAAGCCCCUUGUCAAAAACCUAAUGGAUCCUCCCCUAGUGGAUAUUGGAUCUACAUCUAAUUACCCAAGCCUUUUAGAUUAGUGGAUCUUUAUCCAAUAAUAUCACAUUGGCUCUUAUUGGAUCUCGUCCAUGGGAUCCAAUAAUUCAUGGGCUUAUUGGAUAUCCAAUAAGACAAGGGCUCUAGCGGAUAUCUCAUAUCCGAACCUUUACUUAUCGUAAUGCCUACCAUAUGUGUGUGACCCUCUAGACCCAAUAUCGAGUUGGCUGUGAGUUAUACUUGUCAGAACUCCUUCUAACUUAGUGAAUUAUUAUCUAUGCAAUAAUUCACUCGACUCAUCGACUACGGACGUAUUAGACCACUACGUCGUAGUCCCCAGACGAUACAGGGGAAUCCAAUCCAUUGGACCUGUCUGUCCUUAGUUACCGUGUACUUAUAGUCCCUCAUCCACCUAAUAUCCCAGAGACCGUAUAUCGAGCAUGGUGUUGUUAGACUCAUACGGUUUUUACUCGAGUCUCGCUCUACUCGGAUUCUCCCGGAGAACUGUUUCUCUCUUAACCCGAAUGGCCCUAGCCAGGGAUUUGUCUGAGCAAGAACACAUGGGAUAUUCCUCUCAUGAUGUCGAGAGUGGAUGAUUCUCUAUCGACACUCAAUAGCCCUCGUAAUGUCGACUGUCACUCCCAAUGACAAGUUGUAUUAGAUCUGGGACAGCCAAACCUAUAAGUCUGGUAUCAAAGAGUGGAGCACUCAUACAGGACAUCCUUGGUGUCUCAAGUCUAAGGACCAGAUACACCACUAGGACUACGGAAUUGCUGUCUAACAAUAAGGCAUCAUUAACCAUCCAACAUUCCGUAAGAGGAUCAAUCAAUUAACUCAUUCUCCAAUGAGCACCUAUACUAUAUCCCUAGUGUCCCUAUAUGAGCAACUAUGAAACCAACUGCAUCCAUCAUAUGGACGAGUAUACAGCACACCAAUUUGUCCGGUUAUUAUGAUGUCUCUUUCGAGUAACCUAUGAUCGGGAUUAUUUAUGAUAUGUGUUUAAAGGUAAAUCGAUCUUAUUAUCGUGAUCUCAUCACGAUCUGAUUCCCAUUGCACAGAUCCAAGGACAUCACAAUAUAUACAUGCAUAUAUGCAAUAGUUAAUAUAAAGUGAUAAAUAUCAAAAUAUAAUAAGUAAAAAAAAGAUUCUGUGUCAAGUCACACGUGUAUCACUCACGUGAUUGGCUUGUUGGGCACCUAUAACUAGCACCUCUCCGUCUCCAUUGAGGGAUUAUAGUUUUCUCAAAAAAAUCAUCAAUCUAAUUGGUCCCGUGAAAGGAUAGAAAGAGAGGAGAAAGGAUAUACUCAUUGUAGAUUCUGCAACGAUCUUGGAUUAAAGACGGUGCAUUGAAGAUCAAACAAAAAUAUUUGAACAAGCAUCAAAAGGUACGUAUCGUUAAACGAGAUCUAUGUAUUUGAUUUCAAUCCUGGUAUAAAGGUUAUUUUCGUAUUUUAAACAACACAUUACAGUUUUUUUGCUUACAAUUUGGUAUCAAAGCCUGGUUUUUUAAAUCAAACACAUUAUAUCUAUUAUUUUGAUGCAUGAUUGGCUUAGGUUUUGCAAAAUUAUAGUUUUACCCUUUGUAAAUUUCAUAAUUCUGAUUUAUGUUCUGUCAACAUAUUUAUGGUUUUUGUCAUCGGGUCUAAUUUCUAUCAAAUUAUAGUUCUACCCUUUAUAAAUCACAUGAUUUCAAUUUAUAUCCUUUCAAAUAUUUAUAGUUUUAUCGAAAUUGAGAAAUUUAGUUUAUAUUCUCAAUUAUAAAAUUGAUAAAUAUGAUUUAUUAUAAUUAUGAUUAAAUUUAAUCAUAAUUAUAUUUUUGAUUAUUUUAUUAUAUUUAAUUUUGAUAAAAAAUAUAAAUUAUGGUUUACUUUAUAGUUUUCUCAUAUGAAAUAUUAAUUAUAUAUGUAGUAAAUAAAAUCAAAAUAUAAUUAUUAUUUUUAAAAUUUUAUUUACUUAUUCACAUGUAUAUAUUUGAAAUUAUGAAAUAAUGUUUAUCUUUCACAUGAAGGCAUGAUUUAUAUGUUAUCAUGAUUAUCAUAUGAGUUUUCUUUUACUGAUUAAAGUUCAAUAAUUAUUAUGGUUAUUCUAUUAUUGAACUGCUUAGUGGGACUUGAAUGAGCUAACUAGCAUGUGUGGGACUUGAAUGAGCUAACUAGCAUGUGUGGGACUUGAAUGAGCUAUUAUUCACUAUAAUACAAAUAAGGAUAAGUGGGACUUGAAUGAGCUAACUAGCAUGUGUGUUCAGGAAGAAUUGAGAUUAAGACAGGAAAGUUCAUAUAAUGUCAUUACUACUACUCAAGGAGGUGGUAAUAAGAAAAGAAAGUUAAAGCAUCAUCCAUCAAAGAGAUUUGUCGAGUCUGAAAAUGUUAAACAGACUAAUGGAAAGAAAGUCUUUACUGUAAAGUAUUUUUUUUGUGACAAGAAAAGAACAUGUGAAGAAGGACUGCAUUAAAUGCAAGACUUGGUUCGAAAAUAAAGGUAUUAAUUCGACCUUUAUAUGUUUUGAAUCAAACAUUACAAAAGUUCCUUCAAACACUUGGUAGAUUGAUUCUGAUGCUUCAACUCAUGUUACCAAUAAGGAUUUCUUUCAAUUCCAAAACCAAAAGAACAUUAAAGAUUUAUUAAUAUGGGAAAUCGUCUUAAAGCGAAAGUGAUAUAAAUGAGAACUUAUCAUCUACGCAUAGAGACGGGUCACCUGAUGGAUCUUAUUGACACAUGUUAUGUCCCUACAAUUUCUAAAAAUUUAGUUUCUUUUUCUAGAAUUGAUGAGUUAGGAUAUUGUCUUUCUUUUGAUAGUGGCAAACUCAGUAUGUUUUAUGAUUCAAUAAAAGUUAGUUCCGGAAUUCUGUAUGAUGGUUUGUAUAGAAUUAAUUUGGAUAUUGAGUUUACAAAGACAUUAAUAACCCUACAAUCAAGUGUUAGAUUGAAACGUAGUUUCAAUAAUGAAAGAUCUUCUAUAUUGUGGCAUAUACGAUUGGUGCAUAUCUCCAAGGAAAAAAUUGAAAGAUUAGUGAGGAUAAUAUUUUGGAACAUUUAGACUUCACUAAUUUUGAUAUUUGUAUAGAUUGUAUUAAGGGAAAGCAAACUAAACAUAUAAAGAAAAAUGCCACAAGAAGUAAAGAAUUCGUUCAGAUUAUUCAUGCUGAUAUCUGCGGACCACUCCAUAUUCCUUGUUUUAGUGGAGAAAGGUAUUUUAUCACAUUUAUAGAUGAUCUGUCCAGAUAUGACUAUGUUUAUCUAAUACAUAAAAAGUCUCAAGCCAUUGAUACAUAAAUGAGGUCGUGAGACAAUUAGAUAUAAAAGUUAAAAUUGUCAGAUCUGACAAGUUUAAUGAAUUUUAUGGUAGAUAUGAUGGAUCUGGUUAGAAUAUUGGUUCUUUUGCUAGAUUCCUAGAACAAUGGGAUAUUUAUGCUCAAUAUGUAUUACCAGGUGUGCCAUAGCAGAAUGAUGUUGCUGAAAGGGGAAAUCAUACUCUUAUGGAUAUGGUUAGGAGCAUGAUAAGUUAUUCCUCUGUACUUAAGUCGAUGUGGUGUGAAGCUCUUAUAACAGCUAUGUACACAUUGAACAGGAUUCUUAGUAAGUCUGUUUCAUCGACUCCAUUUGAGUUAUGGACUGGUAGGAAGUCCAGUCUAAGACAUUUACAUAUUUGGGGGUGUCCUACAAAGAUAAAAGUAUUUAAUCCAUAUGAAACGAAAUUUGAUCUAAGAACUAUUUCAGGAUAUUUUAUUGGUUAUCUAGAAAAAUCCAAGGGAUACAGAUUUUAUUGCCCUAAUCAUAGUAUGAGGAUAGUAGAAUCUAGUAAUGCAAAAUUAUUAGAAAAUGGUGAAAUCAAUGGGAGUAAAAAAUCUUGAAUGAUUAAUUUUGAUAUUGAGGAGAUUUAGGUUAAUUCUCCUAUAUCAUCUCUUAUUUAAGAGAUUGUUGUUCCUCAAAUCAAUGAGAGUAUUAAUGAGGGUGAAUAAUAAAAUAACAUCGAAGAACUCUCACAUAAUGUUGAUGUCACCGCUGAUGAUCUUGUAGAACAAUCACAAUUGGCAGAUUUAAGAAGAUCUCAAAGGAAAAAGAAACAUGUCAUUUCUGAUGAUUAUGUGGUAUAUUUACAAGAAUCAAAUUAUUAUAUAGGAAUAAAAAGAGACCCCUUAUCGUUUCCACAAGCUAUAGAAAGUAAUGAUUAUGAAAAAUGGUAUGAUGCAAUGAAAGAAGAGUUAAAAUCAAUGGUUCAGAAUGGUGUCUAAGAUCUCGGUGAAAUGCCCAAUAAUUGUAAAAGAGUCGAUUGUAAAUGCGUCUUUAAGAUAAAAUGUGACUCAACGUGCAAUAUCAAACGAUUUAAAGCCAGACUUGUGGCCAAAGAUUUUUCUCAAAAGGAAGAUAUCGACUAUAAUGAGACUUUUUCUUCAGUUUCUAAAACAGACUCAUUGAGAAUUAUCAUGACAUUAGUAACUCAUUAUGAUCUUGAGUUUCAUCUGAUGGAUGUGAAAAUAACAUUUCUGAAUGGGGAUCUGGAUAAGGAAAUCUAUAUGGAACAACCUGAAGGAUUCGUAGAAAAGGGAAAAGAAGGUUAGGCUUGUAAACUUAAGAAAUCUAUUUAUGACAUUAAACAAACUUCUAGACAAUGGUAUAUAAAGUUUCAUAAUACCAUUACUUCCUUCGGAUUUAAGGAAAAUACUGUUGAUCAGGGUAUAUAUCUGAAGGUAAGUGAGAGCAAGGCAGCCUAUGUUAUUAGUAUUGAGAUAUUCAGAGAUAGAUCUCAAGGAUUAUUAGAAUUAUCUCAGAAAGGUUAUAUUGAUCGUAUGUUGGAGAGAUUUAAUAUGCAACUUUGCUCAGCCAAUGAUAUACCUAUUACUAGAGGUGAAAAUUUCAAUUAAAACCAGUGUCCAAGAAAUGACUUAGAAAAGAAUCAAAUGAAAAAUAUUCCUUAUGAGUGCGUAGUUGGAAGUCUAUUAUAUGCUCAAACUUGUACAAGACCAGAUAUCAAUUUUGCAAUUGCAAUACUGGGAAGAUACCAAAGCAACCCAGGAAUGAAACAUUGUAAAGCUGCAAAGAAAGUAAUGAGAUAUGUACAAGGAACGAAAGAUUAUAUGCUCACAUAUAGGAGAUCAGAUCAGCUUGAAGUAAUAGGAUAUUCAGAUGCUGAUUUUGUAAAUUGCCUCGACAGUAGGAAGUCCACUUCAGGAUUUAUAUUUAUGUUAGCUGGUGGGGCAAAUUCUUGGAAAAGUGUAAAGCAAUCACUUAUUGCAUCAUCCACAAUGGAAGCUGAAUUUGUGACAUGCUUUGAGGCCACAAAUCAAGUUUUAUAGCUGCGAAAUUUCAUCUCAGGAUUUGAUAUGGUCGACUCAAUUGCCAAACCACUGAAUAUAUUUUGUGAUAAUACCACAACAGUUUUCUUCUCUAAGAAUGACGAGUAUUUUAGUGGUUCCAAGCAUAAUGAGAUAAAGUACUUUGUAGUUAGAGAAAGAGUCCAGAAACAGCAAGUGCCAAUUGAGAACCUGAACACCACUAUGAUGAUUGCUGAUCCAUUAACAAAGGCCUUACAAUAUAGAAUAUUUAAAGAACAUGCUCUUAGAAUGAGGCUUGUGCGCAAGUCAUAAAGGAUAUGAUGACACAUAUUUAUAUGGAUGUUAUUAUUAAUAUUCUUCUUGCUUAAUUAAACUUAUUUGUUUCUGCCAUCCUUUUUACAUUUAUGUUUAUGCAUAUUAUAGUUGAAUGUAAUAACAAGAUAAAUUAUCAUUAUAGACUAUAUUAGGAAAGACUAACAAUGUUGUGGUACAUAGAAGGAAGUAUGACAUUGAUGAAAUACAACCGCUAUGAUUCGUAUUGAUAGUUGGACUUAAUAUAGUAUUAUUAUGUUUAUUGGACUUAUUGGCUUAUUAAAAAAAAAACAUGGCCACGUAUAAAAUAUUUUUCAAAAUUCUUUAGAAUCCAAUUAGGUAAAAUUAUUUUUUAAAUAAAUUUUAUUUUUAUUUAUUUUGAUUUUGAUUAUCUCUUUUAUAUCUUAUCAAUUAAUGGAUCAAGUGGGAGAAUGUUAGAUUUUCUGAACAGAUGACAUCAAACAAAAAUUUCUGAACAAAUGACAUCAAAAGAUAGCAUCGUUAAACGAUAUCAAUAUAUUUGAUUUCAAUCUUGACAUAAAGGUUAUUUCCGUAUUUUAAACAGCAUAUUACUGUUUUUAUUUUUACAAUAAUAGGUUUUCAUUCAUAAUUUUAUUAAACGAGAUCGACAUUUCUUUUUAUUUCAGCCUUAUCAUAUAAUAGUUCAUCUCCUGACAUAUCUGAUCGCCGUGGCUUUAAUUAUCGUCUCGCGGAUCACGCGAUUGCGGUGAGACGGACGUCGUCAUAAUAGACGACAUAGAUGUCGAAGGCGGCGACGAGUCCCGCUUUGUCGGACGUCACCAGUUUGCUCACCAUGUUCCCCGACGCGAACUGGAACACCCCCGUCCCUCCCACGAUGGCCCGGUCCGCCUUCCCGGAGGUGUCCAUCCUCCCUAUCACCGUGAGCGUGCUGUCGCAGAAGUCCCCCGCCGUGAACACCAGCACCAGCGGUAUCAGCGACGACUCGUCCCGCUGCGACGCGUGGAAGCUCACGCCCUGUGCCCUCCCGACUUCAGUCGAACGCUUGGAGGGGCCGGUCCUCAGCACGGCGUCGAAGAUGUCGACGUCCCCGAAGGUGUUGGGGAGGCUCAUGUUCACCACGGUCACGGUGGUGUUGUCGGGGCCGAGAAAGGUCUCGUGGAAGUAGACGCGGAAAUGGAUUCUGCUCUGCCGGCCGAGUUCGAACUCGGAGGUCACCGGGAAGGCCGUGGCAGCAGCCAGGAGGAGGAAGAAGACGAGGAGGAAGUAGAGAUGAGUGAAGCUAUUUGGGGAUGAAGCCAUGGCUAGGAUGACCGAAGGAUCGAAGUGAGGUGGGUACAACGCUGGAUCAGGAACAUGUAUUUAUAGAGUAAAGUCUGUGCCAUGCGUCGUCAACAAAUGCCAACGUCCAACCAAAUCUCAUUAUCAUGUCUACAUAAAAUACUCAAACGAAUAUUACUCUUGCAGGCGAAGGUAUCCGCGUAGGGAAGAAGAUAGCAUAUAGUAACACGAUGUACACACCAUAUAGUCUUCUCCAUGAAUAAAUAAAUAUAUAAAUAUAUAUAUAUUUUUUUUAAAUAUAUUAAUAUAUAUGAUCUCUAGCAAUGGAUAUGGGUAACUGAGAGAUGGAGGGAUGAUAGUUGGAAGCAAUGGCCGAUAAGGAUAGUGUUGCGUCUUUUGCAAGUGCCAACUGGCCACCUGUAGCUCGUCAAUUUGCUUGUUAAUUAACGAACCACAUUGGCAACGCUAUCUUUCUUUAUGUGUUUCAACACAGAUGUACGCGGUUGGCUGAUGGCCGUCAGUCCCGUUUGUUCGCAUCUUCAGUUGUUGACAUGUGGUAAUGAAGUGUUGGUUCCCAUGCGUGACCGCUACCCCACCACUGCACUUAAAGUCGCGACGUAAUUAUUGACCGACGGUGCGAUGCAAAACCUUCUCUCGCCAAUCAAGUCAUUCGUGACUCAAGUGGCGCUAUUAACCAUCUUUUGCUUUACAGUAAUCAAAGAAAAGCUCACAUGAUUUGUUCUCAUAUCAGCAUAGCAAAUGAAUUUUAUGUGAAUUUUAAUAUACAUACAUAUUCUCUCCUGUCAAAACAUAUCCUAAACUCAUGUUUAUUUUCACCACUAUAUAUAUCAACACGAGACCAAAAAACAAAAAGGGAUGGGAUGACAUAAAGCAUGUCAAUGUUGAUGGGGAUAUAAAGAGGAAUAACCUUUUGUAUAUGAACAAAUACUAGAAGACCAUAUACGCAGCGAAAUAAAAUGGAAACACAAUCAAAUAGAACACCAAGAUAUACGUGGAAAAUCCCUUCAAUGUGAAGGGUAAAAACCACGGGGCAAACUAGAGAUAAUCCACUAUGAGAAUAAUGAAUAUACAAAUCUCAAUCUCUUACCCAAAACCCUAGCAAUAACCACAAGAGGAUAACUGGGAUACAAGGAUCACGUCACUGCCCACAAUAUCUAAAACCUCCCCAAGUAAUCACAGCAAGAGUCUACUGUAGAUUUGAUCUAACCUGAGAUGAGAACACUGCUAGAUGAUUGAGAACAGUCUCUCUGCGUUGUCCUUGUCUUCUUCCCUUUCUUUCUCUUAUUUUUCUACCUUGUUCUUCUCUCUUUGUUGUUACGAGGAUGUCAACGUUGCUGCCCACGUUGCUGCUUGUAAAACGCAGCCCCCACACCCCCCUUAUAUUGAUCUAGGGUUAGGUCAAAGGGGUGUGGGUUGUGGGCUGAAUCCACUUUGGGCUGCCAGCCCAACAACCUCCUCCUUCAGCCCAUAAGGGAGGUUGUCCCAUGACUCCUCAAUGUGAAGCCAUGCCGACCAACUGUCGGCAUAUCUCCUGUCUUUCUUUUGGUAAGGUCUUCGUCAACAUGACUGCUCCGUUGUCAUCUGUAUGAAUUUUCUGAAGCUGCAACUACUUCUCUUCAAAUACAUUUCGAAUCCAGUGGUAUCUAACAUCUAUAUUCUUUGACUUGGAAUGAAACAUUGGGUUCUUAUACAAAUGGAUGACACUCUGGCUGUCACAAUGCACCACAUAAUUUUCCUGUUUCAGCCCCAAUUCUUGUAAGAAUUCUUUCAUCCAUAAUAUUUCUUUGCAUACCUCUGUAGCAGCAAUAUAUUCUGCUUCUGUGGUAGAGAGAGCAAUACACCUUUGCAACCUGGAUUGCUAUGACACAGCUCCCCCUGUAAAAGUAAGUACAUAACCUGAAGUAGACUUCCUCGUAUCUAUAUCUCUUGUCAUAUCUGCAUCUUUGUAACCUGUCAACAUAGGUGGUCUACCUCCAAAGCUUAAAUAAACCUUAGAGCUCCCUUUGAGAUAUCUAAAAAUCCACUUCACUGCUGCCUAGUGCUCUUUGCUUGGAUUUGCAAGAAAUCUGCUAGUAACACCCACUGCAUAUGCGAUGUCUGGCCUUGUACAUACCAUUGCAUACAUUAAACUCCCAACUGUUGAAGCAUAAGGAACCUUUUGCAUUUUCUCCUUCUCCUCAUCACUUGAUGGGCUCUGUUCUGAGCACAACUUGAAGUGACUUGCAAGAGGAGAACCAACUGGUUUUGCAUUGCUCAUACUGAAUCUUUCCAAUACCUUCUCGAUGUAUUUCUUCUGUGACAACCAAAUCUUCUUGUUUUUUCUGUCACGAGAAAUCUGCAUGCCUAGUAUUUGCUUUGCUGGCCCCAUGUCCUUCAUUGCAAAAGACUCACUCAGUUCCUUCUUUAACCUGUCAAUUUUAGACAUAUCUUUCCUAAGAAUAAGUAUGUCAUCAACAUAAAGUAAGAGAAUAAUAAAAUCCUCACCAAACCAUUUGAUGUACACACAAUGAUAUGAAGUCGUUCUUUUAUAUCCAUUUUCUGUCAUAAAUGAAUCAAACUUUCUGUACCACUGUCUUGGAGCUUGCUUUAGCCCAUACAAGCUCUUCUUCAACUUGUAGACAAGAUUAUCUUUACCUUUGACUUUGAAGCCUUCUGGUUGCUCCAUAUAAAUUUUCUCCUCUAAAUCACCAUGAAGGAAAGCUGUCUUCACAUCUAACUGCUCAACCUCUAAGUCCUGGCUAGCAACAAUACCAAGAGCAAUACGAAUAGAAGACAUUUUAACAACAGGAGAAAAUAUCUCUUCAAAGUCAAUACAUUUCUUUUGACCAAAGCCUUUCACAACCAAUCUAGCUUUGUACUUUGGUUGAGAACAAUAUUCUUGAGUCUUCAACCUAAAAACUCAUUUGUUCUUCAAGGCCUUCAUUCCAUUUGGUAGUAGCACCAAAUCAUAAGUGUGGUUCUUCUGAAGAGCAUCAAUCUCUUCCUGCAUAGCAACUAACCACUUCUCUUUCUGCUCACUCUCAACUGCUUCCUGGUAACUUUCUGGUUCACCUGCAUCAGUAAGCAUCACAUACUCAUUUGUAGAGUAUCUUCUGGAAGGUUGACGUUGUCUAGAAGAUCUUCUCAACUGAGGUUCUGCGGGAACUUGCUCUCCUACUUCUUCUUGCUCAACAUGUCCUACAGGUAAAUCAACAUCAGGCUCUACACUAUUUUCCUGCACAUCUCCCCCAUCACCCUGAUAUACUGGAGGAAUAACUAGGUCACAAUCUGCUAAUCGUUCUGCAGAAGUCUUGGCUAGUGCCUUCUUCUUCAAAUCCUCAAAGGUUUGAUCCUCAAAGAAGACCGCAGCUCUGCUCCUGAACACCUUCUGCUUUUCUGGAUCCCAAAGCCUAUAACCAAACUGAUCAUGUGAGUAACCAAGAAAAAUACAUUCUUUAGACUUACCAUCCAGCUUGGACCUCUCAUUAUCUGGAAUAUGUGCAAAUGCACGACAACCAAACACUCUCAAAUGCCUAUAGGAAACAUCUUUCCUUGACCAUACAUGCUCUGCAACAUCACCAUCUAGGGUUGUACAUGGUGAUAAGUUGAUCACAUCAACUGCAGUCCUCAAAGCCUCAUCCCGAAACCUUUUGGGUAGCUUGGCCUGUGAAAGCAUACAUCUGAUCUUUUCCAUGAUGGUGCGGUUCAUCCUCUCUGCAAUUGCAUUAUGCUGAGGUGUACCAGGAACUGUCAUCUCAUGUUGGAUCCCAUGUGACCUGCAAUAGUCAUUAAACAAUCCCGUAUACUCACCACCAUUAUAUGAUCUUAUGCAUUUCAAUUUCCUUUCUGUCUCCCUUUCAACCCUGGCAUGAAACUCUUUGAAGACAUUAAUAACCUGAUCUUUGGUCUUCAAAGCAUAAGCCCAAACUUUCCUGGAAAAAUCAUCUAUAAAAGUGACAAAAUAAAGUGCACCACUUAUACCAAGAACAUCAACAGAUCCACCAGGAGUUUUUGUCCUCAAAGGACCACAUACAUCUAUAUAAACACGGUCUAAGGCAUGCAUUUUUCUAGACAAAGCAGCAUUAGCAAAUGAAACUCUAUGUUGUUUACCAGCCAAACAAUCAAUACAAGGGUUCAGAUGUAUACCUCUGAGAUCUGGCAAUACCUCUCUCUUGGAAANNNNNNNNNNNNNNNNNNNNCUAUACCUGUAUGUAGCAAAAAACUCUCUCCGAGGUGUAGCAUGAUAAGAAGCACCUAUGUCAAUCACCCACUCAAGAUCCUGACACACACAAGAAAAAAUAUCAUCAGAAUGAGACAAAAUCAAAUAAUCACCACCCUGCACUGUAGCUAUAGUAUUAUCCUUUGACUCUGUAGACUCCACUUCUUUUUCCUUUUUCUUGUUCUUCUUAGGUUGCUUACAUUGGUUCUUGUAAUGUCCUUUCUCACCACAGUUAUAGCAAACAAUAUCUUUUCUUGAUCUUGACUUGCUCCUACCCAUACGUGAAUUGCUUAUAGACUUUGACCUUCCUCUGUUCUCUGAGAUAAGUGCCUGUGAAUCAUUCUGAGAUGUUGCUGAACUCUUUCUUCUCAACUCCUUAUUCAACAAACUGCUUGUUACUUGACUCAUAGUGACAAUACCAUCUGGCGCAGAAUUACUAAAGGAAACCACCAGUGUCUCCUAACUUUCUGGUAAUGAACUGAGAAGUAACAAUGCCUGCAACUCAUCAUCAAGAGACAUUUUCAUAGAGGAUAACUGGUUAGUAAUACUUUGCAUUUCAUUCAAAUGCUCAGCAAUAGAAGCACCCUCUCUAUAUUUUAGGUUCACAAGUUUUCUGAUCAAAAAAGCUUUGUUGCCAAUUGUUUUUCUUUCAUAGAGACUUUCCAAUUUUUUCCAAAGAGAAUAUGCAGAAAUUGCAGUAGAAACAUGGUGAAAGACACUAUCAUCAAGCCACUGUCUAAUAAACCUAAUUGUUUUUCGAUCUAACCUCUUCCACUCAUCAUCUGUCAUAGUUGUAGGUUUUGCACUAUCCCCUUGCAAAGGUCCAUUCAAAUCUUUGCAAUACAAGAGAUCUUCCAUUCUUGGUUUCCAUAUCAUCCAAUUAUUUUCAUUCAAACUAAUCAUGCGAGAAACAUUACUGGCCUUCAUGUUCAAAUACAAAAAUUAAAUUACCAAAAUCCCGCUCUGAUACCAGUUGAUGGGGAUAUAAAGAGGAAUAACCUUUGUAUAUGAACAAAUACUAGAAGACCAUAAUACGCAGCGGAAUAAAAUGGAAACACAAUCAAACAGAACACCAAGAUAUACGUGGAAAACCCCUUCAAUGUGAAGGGUAAAAACCACGGGGCAAACUAGAGAUAAUCCACUAUGAGAAUAAUGAAUAUACAAAUCUCAAUCUCUUACCCAAAACCCUAGCAACAACCACAAGAGGAUAACUGGGAUACAAGGAUCACGUCACUGCCCACAAUAUUUAAAACAUCCCCAAGUAAUCACAGCAAGAGUCUACUGUAGAUUUGAUCUAACCUGAGAUGAGAACACUACUAGAUGAUUGAGAACAGUCUCUCUGCGUUGUCCUUAUCUUCUUCCCUUUCUUUCUCUUGUUUUUUUGCCUUGUUCUUCUCUCUUUGUUGCUACGAGGAUGUCAACGUUGCUGCCCACGUUGCUGCCUUUUUCUGCCUCUUUUCUGCUUGUAAAACGUAGCCCCCACACCCCCCUUAUAUUGAUCUAGGGUUAAGUCAAAGGGGUGUGGGUUGUGGGCUGAUAAAGCCCGGGCUGAACCCACUUUGUGCUGGCAGCCCAACAACGUUACAUGUGAAUCACGCCUACAUAAUCCUUGACCUACCAAAGGUGUGGUUGAUUGUCAAAGUUCAUCAUUAUUAUGUAAGGUAUAUAUUUUUUAAGCAGAUCGUCAAAUGCCAGCGCAUGCCGUGUUAUAUUUCAAAGUGCAUAGAUGACCCAAUCCGUGUGUAAUGUCUCCUACUUAGUUGUCCCCUCACGCAAUGCAUUUCUUUAUGAGUAUACGUAUACUUCCACCUGAUCACAACAUCCAUAUUAAAGCUUAUGUAGGUGCAGCGAAAUUAGUUAUUCGUCGAUAAAUAGGAGAAAAAUGGCUAACAAGUCUUAUUAAAACCAUUAAUUAAGAAUUUAGAGAAGAGAUAGUAUCAUAUUUGAUUUCACAUUGAUCAGAGACUUAGGGAAUCAAUACCUAAUACCUAAUAAAGAGUCAAAUACAAAUUUUCUUUUUUUGACAGACAACUUUUGGGAUCCACCUUAAAAAAGGAAAGAUCAUGUGGUUCCGCUUAACAAUUUAUGAUUCAAAAGAGCUCGUGAUUGACCUUUUAUUCAAUGGGGUGAAUAAGUUUGUGAAAAUAAGAAUAUUAUUUGGAUAAAAAUAAAUAGUAAAAAAAUGAUCAAAUGGUGUGUGGACACGUGGCAUAUUCAUCAAUGUUUAAAGCAGCAGAUCGCACGAGUAGUAACAACUACCAAAGCACUCUCCACGAUGAGAAAGGGCGGCGGGGGCGGGGAAGUGACACGAUGUGAAAGAAUCAUAGAGGCGGCUCUCCUCUCUACCCUCCUUUCUCUUCUCCCUGCCACACGUCCUCCUCUUUAAUCGCAGAUUCGUGGACGAUCGAGUCCGGCGGCGACGAGCGCGAUGUGAGUUUGAGUCUCGUCUCUUGAGUGCAGUCAGAUUUCUGCACACAGAUCGAGAUCGGAAGAAAGAUUUUUUUGAUUUAACUCUUUCGAUGCCGAUCAGGGGGUUAGCUUUUAUACUUGCAAAUAAGGGUCGAUCGUACGUGAUCUGUUAAUAGUGGCCAACUCCUCGAGCGAUCGGUUUGUACCUCUUGUGCGAGCGUCGAUCGACCUACAUUGAUCCACAUUGUGUGACAUCGUUCCGAGCUUUCCGGAGUGGCUUUGUGCUAUGUAGCGUUGUCUCGUACGACCUCGGACAGUAUGAGAACAUGCGAUCGUCCUAUCCGAGUACGAGAUGUCACGUCGAUGCAAUGCAUCAUAUCAACCCUGAGGCUCCAUGUUGGCGCUGAUUGAUAGCAUAUAAGACAUCAUAUCAACCUUUGCCCUAUGAUCGAGGAAACGAAACCUAGUCUUAUGGUAUCUUUUUCCCCUCCGUUUAAAUUCACUUCUUCCCUUUGAUCACGCGUGUAAAAGAAGCUUAACCGGAGGAAUGUAAGAGUUGUCUCACGUUUUUGAGCUUUUUGUACCGUAACCUAAUAAGUUCUCUUGAUUUUAGAGUGAAUUAGGCAUUGCAUUUGGUUGAUAUGUAUGCAACUAAGUACAUCUGUACGUACAGCAGCAACUCAAGUGGAUAUGUGUUAUUUUCAGUUCCCAUCAAAACUUUGAAUAGUCGAUUUUAGUUUUUUUUUUAAAUAUGUAGCCAAAGAAAGUCCCUUUCACGGAAUCUUCCUUCGGCAUGCUGCAGUUGAUUAUAAAUCGAUCGUAAAAUAUAUAUUAAAAUGAUUUGAGGUUAAUAACCCAAGCAUAUAUUGAAUAAUAAUUUAUUGAUAAAAUUGUGUAUUAUUCGAUUGAAAGGAAACCGAAGGCAUGAUAAGUUUUUGUCUUAUGUUUGUUGUAUCAUCAAAAGACAUGAACCAAAAUACGGUUCACUGCUUCAACAUGAUCUUCGGUUUACAGAUGAAAGGCUAUAUUGUUCUUCAGCUUGAUGUUCCUGAUGGUCCAAAGUGAACUUGCUAAAAGAAAAAACACUCGUCAUGAUCACGAUGGAAUAAUAUUUCAAACUCUCAAUUUUUAAUAUAAAAUUGUAUGUAUCCAAGAGCUGGUUGGAGAAUUGUAUAUGAUAUGUCUAUAGUUCUCCGAGUUCUGAUAUUUUCGAAGUUUGUUUCAAUAGGUUUUUAUUCAUAAUAUUAAUAAACGAGAUCGAAUAAUUCUUUUUAUUUUAGCCUUAUUAUUUAUUCUGCAGACGUAAAGCAAGUUAAACAUUGUUAGCUCUUAUUUAAAUGCUGUAGCUUUCAUUAUCGUGUCUCGGAUCACGCGAUGGAAGUGAGACGGACGUCGUUAUGGUACAUGACGUAGACGUCGAAGGCGGCGACGAGUCCCGCAUCGUCGGACGUCACCAGCUUGCUCACCAUGUUCCCCGACGCGAACUGGAACACCCCCGUCCCUCCCACGAUGGCCCGGUCCGCCUUCCCGGACGCGUCCAUCCUCCCGAUCACCGUGAGCGUGCUGUCGCAGAAGUUUCCCCCCGUGAACACCAGCACCAGCGGUAUCAGCGACGACUCGUCCCGCUGCGACACGUGGAAGCUCACGCCCUGCGCCCUUCCGAAUUCAGUCGACCACUUGGAGGGGCCGAUCCUCAGCACGGCGUCGAAGAUGUCGACGUCUCCGAAGGUGUAGGGGAGGCUCAUGUUCACCACCGUGACGGUGCCGUUGUCGGGGCCGAGAAACGUCUCGUAGAAGUAGACGCGGAAGUGGAUUCUCUUAUGGAUGCCGAGUUCGAACUCGGAGGUGACGGGGAAGGCCGUGACAGCAUCAAGGAGGGGGGAAGAAGACGAGGAGGAAGUAGAGAUGAGAGGAGCUGCGUGGGGAUGAAGCCAUGAC